GACGAACGCUGGCGGCGUGCUUAACACAUGCAAGUCGAACGAAGUGGCGAACGGGUGAGUAACGCGGAAUCACCCUGCCCUUCAGAGGGGGACAACAGUUGGAAACGCCUGCUAAUAACGCAUAAUGAAGGAGGGGAUUGCGUCUGAUUAGCGAGUUGGAGGGGUAACGACCCACCAAGGCGAUGAACAGUAGCCGGGCUGAGAGGAUGAACGGACACAUGUGGACUGAGACACGGCCCAGACUCCUACGGGAGGCAGCAGUGGGGAAUCUUCCGCAAUGGACGAAAGUCUGACGGAGCAACGCCGCGUGAGUGAUGACGGCCUUCGGGUUGUAAAGCUCUGUUAAUCGGGACGCGGUACCGGAAUAGAAAGCCACGGCUAACUACGUGCCAGCAGCGCGGUAAUAC
rnacentral:rRNA from 1 species